UACGUAGGGGGCGAGCGUUGUCCGGAGUUACUGGGCGUAAAGCGCACGCAGGCGGUCGUGUAAGUUUGGGGUUACAGCUCCCGGCUCAACUGGGAGAGCGCCUUGAAGACUGCAGGACUUGAGGGCCAGAGAGGGACACAGAAUUCCGGGUGUAGUGGUGAAAUGCGUAGAUAUCCGGAGGAAUACCAAAGGCGAAGGCAGUGUCCUGGCUGGUGACUGACGCUGAGACGCGAAAGCGUGGGGAGCGAACAGG
rnacentral:rRNA from 1 species